GGAAAUAAAAGUCGUAACAAGGUCUCCGUUGGUGAACCAGCGGAGGGAUCAUUACUGAGUUACCGCUCUACAACCCUUUGUGAACAUACCUAACUGUUGCUUCGGCGGGCAGAGGUCCCUCGCGGAUCUCUCCCGGCAACGCCCUCACGGGCGGAGCGCCCGCCGGAGGAUACCAAACUCUAUUUUAACGACGUUUCUUCUGAGUGGCACAAGCAAAUAAUUAAAACUUUUAACAACGGAUCUCUUGGUUCUG
rnacentral:misc_RNA from 1 species